CAAUAGCGUAUAUUUAAGUUGUUGCAGUUAAAAAGCUCGUAGUUGGAUUUCGGAUGGGACUUGCCGGUCCGUCGUUUCGAUGUGCACUGGCCAGUCCUAUCUUGUUGUCGGGGACUAGCUCCUGGGCUUCACUGUCCGGGACUAGGAGCUGACGAGGUUACUUUGAGUAAAUUAGAAUGUUCAAAGCAAGCCUACGCUCUGAAUACAUUAGCAUGGAAUAACACGAUAGGACUCUGGCUUAUCUUGUUGGUCUGUGAGACCAGAGUAAUGAUUAAGAGGGACAGUCGGGGGCAUUCGUAUUUCAUUGUCAGAGGUGAAAUUCUUGAAUUUAUGAAAGACGAACUUCUGCGAAGGCAUUUGUCAAGGAUGUUUUCAUUAA
rnacentral:rRNA from 1 species